rnacentral:rRNA from 1 species
UACGUAGGGGGCUAGCGUUGUCCGGAAUCAUUGGGCGUAAAGAGCGUGUAGGCGGCCCGGUAAGUCCGCUGUGAAAGUCGGGGGCUCAACCCUCGGAUGCCGGUGGAUACUGUCGGGCUCGAGUACGGAAGAGGCGAGUGGAAUUCCUGGUGUAGCGGUGAAAUGCGCAGAUAUCAGGAGGAACCCCAGAGGCGAAGGCGGCGUCCUGGCUCACAACUGACGCUCAUACACGACAGCAUGGGGAGCGAACGGG